AUUGCGGAGAGUUUGAUCCUGGCUCAGGAUGAACGCUGGCGGCGUGCUUAAUACAUGCAAGUCGAACGGAGACAUUAGCAAUAAUGUUUUAGUGGCGAACGGGUGAGUAACGCGUUGGUGACCUGCCCCGAAGAGAGGGAU
rnacentral:rRNA from 1 species